GUUUUUAUAGUGUAAAUUAACAUAUUGUCCUUUCAAGACAAAGAUAAUAUUUUUAAAAACA
rnacentral:tRNA from 1 species